UUNACUCCAACCCAAUGUGAACCAUACCAAACUGUUGCCUCGGCGGGGUCACGCCCCGGGUGCGNCGCAGCCCCGGAACCAGGCGCCCGCCGGAGGGACCAACCAAACUCUUUUCUGUAGUCCCCUCGCGGACGUUAUUUCUUACAGCUCUGAGCAAAAAUUCAAAAUGAAUCAAAACUUUCAACAACGGAUCUCUUGGUUCUGGCAUCGAUGAAGAACGCAGCGAAAUGCGAUAAGUAAUGUGAAUUGCAGAAUUCAGUGAAUCAUCGAAUCUUUGAACGCACAUUGCGCCCGCCAGUAUUCUGGCGGGCAUGCCUGUCCGAGCGUCAUUUCAACCCUCGAACCCCUCCGGGGGGUCGGCGUUGGGGAUCGGGAACCCCUAAGACGGGAUCCCGGCCCCGAAAUACAGUGGCGGUCUCGCCGCAGCCUCUCCUGCGCAGUAGUUUGCACAACUCGCACCGGGAGCGCGGCGCGUCCACGUCCGUAAAACACCCAACUUCUGAAAUGUUGACCUCGGAUCAGGUAGGAAUACCCGCUGAACUUAAGCAUAUCAAUAA
rnacentral:rRNA from 1 species